AUUGAACGCUGGCGGCAGGCCUAACACAUGCAAGUCGAACGGUAACAGGGAUCAGCUUGCUGAUUCGCUGACGAGUGGCGGACGGGUGAGUAAUGUCUGGGAAACUGCCUGAUGGAGGGGGAUAACUACUGGAAACGGUAGCUAAUACCGCAUAACGUCGCAAGACCAAAGAGGGGGACCUUCGGGCCUCUUGCCAUCGGAUGUGCCCAGAUGGGAUUAGCUAGUAGGUGGGGUAACGGCUCACCUAGGCGACGAUCCCUAGCUGGUCUGAGAGGAUGACCAGCCACACUGGAACUUAGACACGGUCCAGACUCCUACGGGAGGCAGCAGUGGGGAAUAUUGCACAAUGGGCGCAAGCCUGAUGCAGCCAUGCCGCGUGUAUGAAGAAGGCCUUCGGGUUGUAAAGUACUUUCAGCGGGGAGGAAGGGAGUAAAGUUAAUACCUUUGCUCAUUGACGUUACCCGCAGAAGAAGCACCGGCUAACUCCGUG
rnacentral:rRNA from 1 species